GCCAAGAGGGGUGCCGAUCAGUUUCGUUAAUGUUGAAGAAGGCUGGAAACGCAACAAGAAAUCUUAAACAAGUUAGAUAAUGAAAUCGACACAAGUAGAAAUUAAAAAGAGAUUGAACAACAAGAAAAUAAAAAUAAAGUCCUAAGAAGCCUUGAAAUCUCGAAAGAUUUCACAACUCCAUUCAAACGGCUCUAAUCUCCCCUCAAAUGAAGAAUAAUUACAAAAAGAAGGCUG
rnacentral:lncRNA from 1 species